ACGGGGUGCAGCAGGCGCGAAAACUUUACAAUGCUGGCAACAGCGAUAAGGGAACCUCGAGUGCCAGGUUACAAAUCUGGCUGUCGAGAUGCCUAAAAAGCAUUUCAUAGCAAGGGCCGGGCAAGACCGGUGCCAGCCGCCGCGGUAACACCGGCGGCUCGAGUGGUAACCGUUAUUAUUGGGUCUAAAGGGUCUGUAGCCGGCCGGAUAAGUCUCUUGAGAAAUCUGGCAGCUUAACUGUCAGGCUUUCAGGAGAUACUGUCUGGCUCGAGGCCGGGAGAGGUGAGAGGUACUUCAGGGGUAGGGGUGAAAUCUUGUAAUCCUUGAAGGACCACCAGUGGCGAAGGCGUCUCACCAGAACGGACCUGACGGCAAGGGACGAAAGCUAGGGGCACGAACCGGAUUAGAUACCCGUGUAGUCC
rnacentral:rRNA from 1 species